GAAACUCUGCAUGAAACUAAUUCAACUGUUUUUAUUUCACUACUUGACAUGCACAUUUCACCAACACUUUCUCCUUCUGGCUUACUGAAGAAUAGGAAGGACUGAAGGGAAUCAAUUCUGUUUCAGACAGGAAGCGUAUCCUCUUUGGGUUCAAUUGUAGAAGCAACACACUGUUUACUUGAUUAGCAUCUCUCUCAACCUUCACUUAUGGUGGGUCCCCUGGAAUCCAGUGCCCAUGGACACACAAACACUGUGUUUUAAUUGGGAGGUCAACCUGGCUGGUCUGAUAUGCCCUGUGUGCUGUGGUUCUUUGAUUAUGGGAAACAGGAAGAAAUACAUGGGCAGAGGGCCUAGAAACAUGGCGGCAGUGAGAAAUCUAAACUUCAGAGUUGUCUCUGCCUUGCUGCUUUCUUGGAUAAAUUUUUCCAUCCUUUGUUCCUUUCGCACUGUAUAGAGAAGGCUUUUGUGAAGUCUUGAUUAAUCUGAAACUACAGUGUGCGACAGCUCACAGGUAAGGAGGCUCAGACCCAGGAAGAAGGAAUGGUUUGCCCACGAUUGCCCAACUAGUUGGAAUCAGAAACCAGCUUUUGAUCCAGGUCUAAAGUAUUAAUCAUGACUCUCUGAAUGGUGGGAACCAGAAAACAGACUAACUUGGAAAAUUGUUGGUCAUGCGUUUGAGAGGUGGGUGGAUCGCAGUCAUGGCUUGAUCUAAGCGUCCCAGCUGUUUUAGUUUCAUUCAUUCUCCAACUCCAGAAGCAGCUUCUCUCUUUGGUGGAUUCGGUUCCUCUGACUAGUGAAGAUGUUCAUAAGUAGCCAUAGGAUGAAGUGUUCCUGGCUUACUGACUUAAAGAAAACAUGAAAAGAGAGUCAUUUCUAUUAUUUGAACAGCACUCAGAAUCCUGAUUGCCUCUUCUUGGCUCAUGUGGACACUACCAUGACAGUCACCAACUCCCAAAACGUGGGGGAUCGUGACUGGCCAGACAUGGCUCACAUAUCCAUUGUCUUUGGUCAGAGAAGCCCACCUGCUACCAAAAUAAGGGCAAUACUAGGGAAAUAGUCUGGACAGACAAAAACAAUGACUUCAUAGCCCACUACAUUACAAAAACAAUCUUAAAGAAUUUAAACUGGCUCAUAAUUAAAAGAAAACAGAAUUGAAACCCAAUUUUAUAUUUUUGGAAUAUUGAAGAAAGUUGGAGAUAUUGAUUAGGAUAUUGUUUGCUCUAUUAGAGUUUAUUGCAAACAAUGAAUAAUUGUUAUCAGCAUAGUUCACUCUCCUUUUUCCAUAACCUUCCCUUUUUUCCAUGGGAAGGUUCCCCCCGCCCCCACCAUGAUCUAAACCUAUCCACUAAUAAUUAGCAACCCCUACCUUUACAUUCUCUCUUUCUCUCUCUUAUUUUUAACUGUAAAACUCCAGGUAGACAUCAGAGAAAAUUCUUAUGAAAAAAGCAUUUAGGAAUUCUUGUUCAUAUUUUUUGCUCAUAAUAUGUUCAUAAUUGUUCAAUAUUGCUCAUAAAUUAUUGUUCAUAAUAUUGUUCAUAUUAUUUUGAUUCUUUGAUACCUCUUAUGCCUAUUACAUUGUAAUGAAUACUAAUGAGUUAACGAAGGGUGAAUAAUUUAAUUAGGACAUUGCUACAUGCAGAGAAAGUGCUAUAAGGUUUUGUUUUUAGAUAAAUUAAAGCUUUUUGAAAGUUUACCCCUCUGAAUAUAAUUAUUUCUGUCCCUGUGCAUUAUCAAAUUCAUUCACUGUAAUUCAGUGUGCUAAGACUCAUACAACACACAUAUUCAUUCAACACUCAGAAAGUUCUUUCUAGAAUGAAUUAGCUAAUAAGUGACUAUUUAUAAACACAAGCACACACAUUUAUAAACCACCUGACCUCAAGGCAAAGGGGAUUAACAACACUCAACCACUUCUAGACUUUACUGAUCUGUAAUUCCACCGCUGUGAAGUAGAUGUUAUUCCUAUUUAAAUGAUUAUGUAAUUAGACUAGUAUAAUAUUAAGAGUAGCAGUUUUGUCAGAUCCUGUGGGUUUUAGUUCCAGCUUUGCUUCUUACAGUUUACUUGCCUUUGCUAAGUCUUAGUUUCCUCACUGGAAAAAUAGUGAGAAAAAAUAGGAUCUAAACAAGCUUGGCAAAUAACACUUGGGUUUGUCUCAUUCAAGAUUUUUUGAGGAAAAUAAAGUUAGUAAAUGAUUCCUGUGUUAAAAAUCAAGUGAAACAUAGAUACAUUAUGGCUUCCCAGUCCUCUUUUACCCCAGUUCCUCCCAUUAAGUUGGAUGUUGUAGCCAGAUUUAGACUUUCAAUUCCUUGAGUUCUUUAUUUCUAGUUAUUUUCCCUCUUAUUUCAUCAUGGUCAUCCCACACCACAGAAAUUCUCUGAGCCUGGGCAAAUUUUGAAUUCCUCUACCGCUGAAAGGCUACCUAAUAAUAUUUCAUUGUCACUGCCAUCUCUUACUUUCCUAACACACAUUGAGAACUCCGGGUCUAGAAAUCACUUCUCUCUCCCUAUUAGCUUCCUUGCCUACUGCCAAUGCUUUAGGCUUAUUUUCUCUGAGAGUAGACACUGUCAAUAUACCCACUUCUCUUUUCCUAUUAUCUGUUAGUCUCUGUGACCUUCAGUCUUUCUCCAUCUCCCCAAACUCUAUAGUCCAGCAGAACUAAAAGGACUGGAAGUUCCCUAAAUGUGUCCUGCUGUUACUAGUUUUUGUUCCUUUGCUCGUACCACUCUCUACUUGAAAUACCUGUCAUACAAAGAUACAUUUAAUUUUAAAGUCUUUCUGGGAAAAAAAUCUCUGUAAAGAUUUUCGUGAUCACCCAUCCUAGGUUAAAUCUAUUACUCACCCAUUUGGUGCCCCACAGUGUUCUGUAUCCAUACAGGAAGACACAUGUUCUACUCAUUUACACUUUUGAUUUUUAUAUCCACCUUCCAUGGCUGCUUAAUUUCUGUAUGCUCAGCAUUGGUGUAGUGCCUCACAUGUAGUACACUAUUAAUAACUAUUUAUUGGAUGAAUUUAUUAAAUGAAUUAAGCAAGGGGAAAUACUGUCUCCCUGGAAAAAUUAAAGCUUUUAUUUUUCUAGUAUUAAGGCACAUACAACUCUCCCUGCCUUUCUCUGCAGCUUUUAAGAAGUACAGAGUCAAGUGUGUGAACAAAAAUUAUUAGCUAUGUUAACCCUCAUUUUUGGUGUAUUUGAAUACUUUCUUUUACUUUAUGUAGAGUUUCACAUGAGUAACUUCAGAUUAUGUGAUUUAAAAAAGUAAUGUAUGUGUGUGUGUGCCUCUGUGUGUAGAAAGGUGGAUAGAUAAAUAAUUUCAACAAGUUAUAUUUCAGAAAAUAACUGUAUUUUUCUUGACAUAUUUUGAGACUUAUAUGUGUACCAGAUUAACAGAGUUUUUCAACUUGCUGUAAAAUAAAUAAGAUGAAUGUUUUGCAUGAAGAAAAUCAUAUUCCAGCACCAAGAGUAAAUCUCCCCUUUUUGA